rnacentral:rRNA from 1 species
UCGAGAAUCUUCGGCAAUGGGGGGCAACCCUGACCGAGCGACGCCGCGUGCGAGAUGAAGGCCUUCGGGUUGUAAAUCGCUGUCAGUGGGGAGGAAAUGCCGGUGGGUUCUCCCAUCGGUUUGACCUAUCCGCAGAGGAAGGACGGGCUAAGUUCGUGCCAGCAGCCGCGGUAAGACGAACCGUCCAAACGUUAUUCGGAAUCACUGGGCUUAAAGGGUGCGUAGGCGGUCCGGCAAGUUGGGCGUGAAAGCCCUCGGCUCAACCGAGGAAUUGCGUUCAAAACUGCCGGGCUGGAGGGAGACAUAGGUGAGCGGAACUUAGGGCGGAGCGGUGAAAUGCGUUGAGAUCCUAAGGAACACCAGUAGCGAAAGCGGCUCACUGGGUCUCUUCUGACGCUGAGUGCACGAAAGCUAGGGGAGCGAAGAG